ACUAUUAAAUCAUCAGAAGAUCCAGAAUAAUAAAGUGCAUGCUUAAUUAUCGGAAGAAGUAGAAUCAAGAAGCUUGUUAACUCAAUCUUGCAUGCUUAUAAAGUAAUUACAGUAGAUUGGCGUAAGGAUUGGAUCCGGCACUGAAAGGACUUCAAGAAGUGGCUUAUUUUAUUAAUUAAAUCAAAUUAAGAAAUAUUGUUUUUAUUAAAAGCUACCUUUGUAAAACAUGGAAUUUAUUCCAUCUAUUUAAAUAAAAUCCGGUGUUUCUAAACUCUGAUAU
rnacentral:lncRNA from 1 species